AGUUUAAUAUUAGCAAUUAAUAGGUUGAAAUAAUGUUGUAAAUGAAACAAAACAUUAUCAAAUUUAGUAAAGGUGAUUGAGAUUUAAUAUCUUUGUAUGUGAAAAGUACUGUGAAGGAAAUAAUGUAACUAGGAAAUAGAAAUGUUUAAAUUUUGUACCUUUUGCAUCAUGGCUUAACUAGAUUAAACUUUAAAUUAAGAAUCUCGAAAUCUGAUGAGCUAUCUUUGUUCUGUUUUAUAGAUCAUUUAAAUAAGUUGGUUGUGGCAAAAACUUCUUAAGAAUCAAAGAUAGAUAUGAAAUUUUAUUCGCAUUGGAUGAUAGCUAGUUCUUCUUUAAGGGUAUAUUAGUACCUUGAACUAUAUACUUAACGCUGUAAAUACAUAGUUUACAGUUGUUUAUGUUAGUUUAUUUAAACUUUCGAGGAUAAGCUCGGAAGCAGAUUAAAAUUUGCAUCUAAUUUUUCUUGAAAUAUAGGCUUAGUAAUGGCUAUUGAAAAAGGAAUUUGUUAUAAUUCAUUUUUUAAUUUAUAAUAUAAUAUAUUUGCUUUAAUGAAUAAUAAGGAAGAAAUUUUAAUAAUUCAUAGUUGAAAUAAUUCUAUGUUAAGAUGAGUAUUAAAUCAUAUAUCAAGAUUAUACUAAUAAUAUAAAAUUUAGAUCUAUGUAAGAGAUUUUAAGAUAAAAUCAUUAAAAGGAACUCGGCAAAAACGUAUUCUGCCUGUUUAUCAAAAACAUGGCUUCGUGUCAUUUUUAAAAUACGAAGUCGGACCUGCCCAGUGAGUUUUAAACGGCCGCGGUACUCUGACCGUGCAAAGGUAGCAUAAUCAUUUGCCUUAUAAUUGAAGGCUGGAAUGAAUGGUUUGACAAGAAUACAUCUGUCUCUUUUUGAUUUCCUAGAAUUUUAUUUUUGGAUGAAAAAGUCCAGAUUUAAUUAAAAGACAAGAAGACCCUAUCGAGCUUUAGAGAAAUUGACGGAUUUAUUAGUCCUCUAUAGUAAUAAAAGAAGAGCCGUUAAGUAUACUUUGGUUGGGGCAACCGAGGAGCAGAUAAAGCCUCCUCUAAAUUUUAAGUCUUACUUGUGUUGAUCCAAAAAUUUUGAUCAAAGGAAUUAGUUACCGUAGGGAUAACAGCAUUAUCUUUUUCAAGAGCCCAUAUCGAAAAAAAGGUUUGUGACCUCGAUGUUGGACCAGAAUAUCCUAAAGAUGCAGAAGUCUUUAAGGGUUGGUCUGUUCGACCAUUAAAAUUCUACGUGAUCUGAGUUCAGACCGGCGUGAGCCAGGUCAGUUUCUAUCUUUAUAUUUUUUGGUUGCACUUAGUACGAAAGGACCGGCGUAACAUAUACCAUAUUAUAAGUAGAUUAAAUAUAAUUCAACUUUAAA
rnacentral:rRNA from 1 species